AUAGAUAGAACCAACUAAUGGUUUCCAAUUAUUGUUGAAAAGGAAAAUAAAAUUACCAAAUUUGUCUUGUGAAUCACAAUACUUUCCAAAAUAGCCACAAAUUUUUAAAACAUGAAAAAAAACAGAAGUAAUAAAAUACAUUACCCAACCUCUGUUUUUCUCAACUCCAUGAUCAAAAUUUGAAUGGGUAAGCAUGAAUUUGAAUCAGGAAAAUAGUAAUUGAACUAAACAAAGAAAGGGGAGAUUUUAGUAAUGUGUGUGACGUGGCAUUUUUUCAAAAAUAGAAAAAAAAUAUAUAAAUAUUCUCUCUCCUCACAGUCUAUUUUUCCCAAGGGGAAAUAAUCAUUUGGGUGUGGAGAGGUGCGAAUGUGGGAACCCACUUCCCAAUUUGGAGAUCCAUUUCCAUUGCCAACCAUUUCUUUCUCUUCCAAUCUCCUUCUGCCUCCUCUUCUUCCUCUUCUUCCUCUUCUUCCUCUUCCUCAUGGCCACCAAUAAGCCAAAGGAAGAACAGAGGUCAAGGAAGCCCCGCCAUCGGAGGAACCAACAGAUGGAAGAAUUCCCCACUUUCACCAAAUGGCUUACCACUUUUGGUCAUUCAGGUUCUUGCAACGAUGCCAAAUCCAAAUCCAAGCAACUUAAUCCUGCCAAUCGCCCUCUUCAAAGGCCCCCUGUCGUCCUUCCAGCUUCCUCAGAGGAUGCUGUGCCGGUUGUCACCAAUGUUCCCGAGGAGGAAGGAGUGCAGACUAUGGCUGUGGAUGGUUCUAUAUCUGCGCGAGGGGGUGCGGGUUGUUGCUGUUGGCAAAGUUCCAAAUCCACGCGGCGGGAGUGUGCGCUUAAAUUCCAUAUCUCUUUAAGAAAGAGAAAGGUGGUUGCUAAUUCUACAGAGGCAGAGGUUGUUGCUGCCGUUUUGAAUCCGCCGGAGGAGGCGACGGUGGAGGAUGUCAAGGACGGGUGUGGUUGUAGGUGUUUGCGAACGUUUAAGAUCUUCAGAAGAAGAAAAAGCAGGGUCGUCGGUGUUUCGGAUCUUCAAAAAGAGGAGGGAGCGGUUACCGACGGCGUGAAUCUACGGACAGAGGAAGUGGCUUCUAGUGGUUCAGACAUGAUGAAGGAAGAGGAAGUCGUCAUCGCACCAGAUCGGCGCAAGGAAGAGGAGAGUGGUUGCUGUUGUGGAAGAUGGAAAUGUUCGCCGACGUUUCAGAUUUGCAGGAGGAGGAAAGUUGUUGCCGGUAAGGAGGAGGUAGUUGGCGGUGCUCCAAAGGUAGAAGAAGUGGGUAAUGAUAAUGUAACUAAACAAGAAGAGGAUUCAGUGGGAUGCUUGCAAGCAUUUCACAUCUGCGGAGGGAGGAAAAGAGUAGACGACAAUCCAAAGACAUCGGAAAAGGAGCCGUUGGUUUCCAACGAUUCUUCAAAUCUCGACGUUCAAAAUUUGCAGAAAGAAGAGAGUGGGUGCUGCAGUUGUUUUAGAUGUAUACCGACAUUCCAAAUCUGCGGAGGGCGGAGGAGUAAUGAGGAUUCUGGCGUUCCAAAACCAGGCAGGGAAGAGAAAGUGAUUGUCGAUGUUUCAGAUCCGCCAGAGAUGGGGUCUGUCGUUGACGGAAGGGAACGACAUUCCAGACCCGUUCAAGGGGGAACUUGUUGGUCAGGAUGGUUUCCUAGGUUUUUGCUCUGUGGGGAAGGGACGGCCGUUGAUGCCCCAAACCAUCGAGAGGAAGAAGAAAAGGCACCUUCCGACGCUCGUAAGGAGGAGAAGGUUGUUGUCGCCACUGCAGUGGGUGACGAAAUUUCAGAUCACGACAAGGAGAAACCGGUGGCUGCCAUCGACAUUCCUGUUGUUAAUGAGGAGGAGGUGUUUGUCGGUGCCGGUGACACUCUUGAUCUUCACAAGGAAAAGAAUGUAUCUUCCUGCAACAUUCAGGAUGUUCGAAAGGAGGAAAUUGUGGAUUCCGACGAGAAGGUGGAGGGUGGUGGUUGCGGUUGUUGGGGAAAAGAGAGUGGUAGCCGCCAACAGCACCGAAGUUCUAGAUCUAUGGAAGGAUGUUGGUCAUUCCAGAUCUGCGGGAGGGGGUGCCUACCAACACUAAACAUUUGCAGAGGGAGAAAAGAUGUAUCUGUUAGGAUUUCAAAAUUGGUUGAAGAAGGGUUGGUCGACAAUGACGUUUCAGAUGUUCAUAAAGAGGUGGUGGAUGCCACCGGCGUUACGGACGUGGUGGCUGGAAGCGAUAAUUCGAAAUGUAGGAGAGGAUGUGGUUGUUGGAAUUUGAAAUCAAGACGGAGGAGGGCGGUGGCUGUAGAUAAGGAGGGCGGAAGCGGUCGACGAUCUAAAUUUAAGGGUAGAAAAGGCCGAGGGGGGUGGCUACGACGAUCGAGAAGGAAAGAAAGAGAGGGAAAGGAAAAAAACAGAUAGAAAAAGAAAUUUAAAUUUUUUUCAUUUUUUUAAAAUGAUUUGUUUAGCAAAAUUAAUGAAAAAAAAAGAAAAUUAUUAUUUUGUCACCUCAGCUUGUUUAAUGAAUAAUGUAUAGAGUUAAUUAAAGGAAAAUGUUUCUUGAUCCAAUGGGCUACUUACUAAAUUCAGAUAAUAGUGAGAAUUAAAUAGUAUCAUUCAAUCAUAAUCACUCCCAUUUAACUGACUAAACUUUAUAAUAACCAAAAGAAUUAAGAUUUUCCAAACAUAGUAUAUGUCAAGUAUGAAUGAUGUUAUAAACAACAUAUUUGGGACAUAUAAAAAGGUAAAAAAUUUGGUAAUCGUAUCAUUCGUCUGGGGUAUAGGAUAAUCUAUAUGUUCCAAAUAUAGUGUAUUAUUUGAAUAGUUAAAAAAAUAAGACAUGAUAUUGAGAAUAGCAUGAAAAUAGUGUAUUUUGCAGUCAAUUUUGUAAAUUUCAACUAAAUUUGCUAUUUUGUUGCUAGACAAUAUUGAACCUCUCCUGUAAUAAUAACAACUAUAUAUACAAUAUUUUCAAAUUUGUUAUAUUUUAAAUCGUUUAUUAAAUAAUAUAUAAUAUAUAUUUUUCAUAACAAUGUAAAUUUAAAUUUUAGAACUUAAUUAUGUCUCAAUGAUAUUUUUACAAUUAUUUAAAUCUUCUUUUUUUAGGUUUUAUUAGAUAAAAGAAAAGAAGGAGAUUGAGAGGGGCAACUUACAAGAGACAAAAGAAGAAGUCCAUUGUGUCCCUAUUUGUUUCUGUCAAAUGUUAGUGGUGAAUUCUUUGAUGAAUUAAAGAAGUUGGUGAUUCUUAUUGAAUAUAAUCAUUGCGUCGUUCAAUCUGAGAAAGUUUGAGAGGUUUUGAUCCAAAGAAAUUUCGUCGGGUUUCAUGAUUUCUUGCUGGAUAGCUGAUUGAACCAUGACUCUUUUUCGUGUUUUUGAAAAUUGAAUCAAAACCCUCCAAAAUUGUCAAUAAGGAGAAGAGGAAGAUGAACGAGUGAAGCUUCCGAUUAAUGACAAAUUUUCUAAUCUUUAUAUUUUUGGGGGGAUUUUUAUGCAACAUUUGUUAUUACAAUACAAAUGUAUUCUCGGUUUACAGAAACAAUUAUAUUUUUCAUAUUGGAUAGGGUCAUUCGAGAGAUUGUUUCAUUUAUUUAUUUUUCUAAUUUUUAUGUGUUGCUAUUCUAACAAUUUAAAAUUAUUUUUGCUAUUUUUCCAAAGUAAAACUAAUAAUUUGUUAUUCUUCUUUACAACCCAAAUAACAAAAUCUUAAAUGCAAACUAAAAAAUAGCAAAAAAUAAUAGAAAAUAAUAAGAAUUAUAGCAAAACCGAAAUUAAUAAGAAUAUAGCAAAAUCGUUUCCUACUCUUUUUUAUUAUUUUAAACGCGAUUAUAUCUUUAAUAUAACAUAAUCCAUUUAUUUCAAACACACUAUAUUUGAAUAGUUCUAAAAAUAAGGACAAAAUAUCGCACAUUCACGAAAACAGUGUAUUUUUCAAACAACAUACAGAUUUGAUAGAUUUUAACUAAAUAUGUUGUUUUGUUACUCGAAAAUAUUGGACCAACAUCCCCUCAAAUAAUGUCAAUAUUUUCUAUUGAAUUUUUUAUAUUUCAAACAAUUAAUUAACAAUUUAUUUGGAUAAUUCCUAAUAUAUACAUUUAAUAACAAUUUGAAUUUAAGUUUUAGAUUCUCCACUCAAAUAAUGUCUUUUUUUAUUCUUUAUAUUCAAAAAAAUUUAUCAAUAAUUUAUUAAAUAAUAUAUAAUAUAUUUUUUUAAUAACAAUUUGAACUUAAAUUUUAGAUUCUUUCCUAAAUAAGACCAAUUACGAUUAUCCAUCUAUUUUUAUUGACUUUUAUUUUUAAAAAUUAUAUUUUUAUUGAGAAAUUUAAAUUUAAAUUUUACAUCCUCUGUCUAAAAUAAUGCCAAAGAUACGUUCAUCAUUUUUGUAUUCUUUAUGUUCCAAACAGUUUAUCUUUGUGUGGGCACAUAUUCAUUUUUCCGACGAAAAUAUAUAUUUGGGAAAAAGUUGUGUAUUGCAUGGGCACAUUAUCGUUUUUGCCAACAGAAAUAUAUAUGUGGGUAGAAAGUUGUGUGGUUUGGAGGAAAAUUUUUAAAUUGGAUUUUUUUCGAUGUUUAUUUUAGUUUAUGGCCACGUAUUGUGUGGACAAAUAUUUUAAAUAUUUGUCGACAUAAUUUACGUGGCGAAAAUCCUACAUUUUUAUACAUAUUUAUGGCGACACAAGAUUUAUAUAUAUGACAACAUAGAAAAUGUGGAUAAGUUUUCUUUUUUUCUUUUUAAUAAAAAAACCUAAUUUCCCAAAUCCUUUACUUAUUUUCCUUUUUCCCGCUUCCUUCUUUUCUCUCGCACACAACCCUUUUUUUGCAAACGAAAAUAUAUACGUGGGCAAAAGUUAUGUAUUGUGUGGUCACAUCAUUGUUUUUGUCGACACACAAAUAUAUACGUAAAAAGUUUGGGGGUGUGAAGGAAAAUUUUUAAAGUUGGAUUUUUGCCGACGUUUAUUUUAGUUUAUGGUCACAUAUCGUGUGUGGGCAGAUAUUUGCCGACGUAAUUUACAUGGCGAAAAAUCUCACAUUUUUAUACAUAUUUAUGACAACACAAGAUUUAUAUAUAUGACGACAUAGAAAACGUGGGCACAAUUUUUUAAAAAAAAAAAUUGAAGGAAAAUUUUUAAGUUCAAUUUUUAUCAACCUUUAUUUGAGUUUAUGGUCAUGUAUCAUGUGUGGGUAGAUAUUUUAAAUAUUUCCCGACAUAUGACAAAAAAUCUACAUGUUUAUACAUAUUUAUGACAAUACAAGAUUUAAUAUAUAUGGUGACAUAUAAAAGGUGAGCAUAAGUUUUUUUUUUAAAAAAAAAAAAACUCAAUUUCCCAAAUCCCUUACUUGUGUUUUUUUUUUUCCAUGCCUUUCCCUCUUUUCUCUCGCACGCAACCUCCCCCCUUUUCUUCUCACGAACGCUAACCCUUUUUCCUUAUGAUUUUCUUCCCGCUUCCUCUUUUGAUUUUCUACUCACCAGAAAGCCCCUCCACCUCUGAUUCUAUUCUCAUCGAACGCCCCUCACACCAUCGUAUGUCGAACGUCGAACUCCUCUACCAUCGGUUUCUUCUCACCGAAAGCUUCUCCCCCGUCCGUUUCUUUGGCUUAUUGGUUGUAAACUGUGUUAGUCAAUUUAUGCACAACCAACUGUCAUUCACUUUCCGGCAGUUAAAUGCAUCCUCAGAUAUCUACGAGGUACUUCAACCCUUGGAAUAACAUUUAAAAAAGGUUUGUUCUCUCUAUAGACCUUUUGUGACUCUGAUUGGGCAAGUGACACUUCUGAUCGACGUUCCACCUCUGGAUUCAUUGCCUUCCUUGGGUCUAAUCCAAUCUCUUGGUCUUCUAAAAUACAACCUACAAUCUCCCGUUCCUCUACAAAAGCAGAAUAUUGUUCACUUGGCACUACUACUGCCUAUCUUUUCAACAACUUCUUUGUGAUCUUCGUGUUCCUCUCAAGAUCUCACCAACAUUAUGAUGUGAUAAUGUUUUCACUAUAUCUCUGGCUCAUAAUCCAGUUUUUCAUGCUCGAACCAAACAUAUUGAGAUUUAUUACCACUUUGUUCGGAAAAAAGUUCUUCGCGAAGAUAUCUCCAUUUGUUACAUAUCUUCAACCAACCAACUUGCUGAUAUAUUCACAAAGCCACUCCUGUCUCUAACAUUCCUUCUUCUUUGAGACAAACUAUUGACUCAACUUGAGUCAUCAGUUUUGUCAUCACGUGCCCGAGAUGACGCAGAGUGACCGACGUCCUCAAAAGAGUUAUUUUUAAAAGAAAAUAGGAGUCACCACCAACCUUUUUUACGGUGUGAUUGGACACUGAAAUAAAGUAAAAAAUUUUAAAAAAAUAUUCUGCAAAAAGUAGAGUUGAGUUCGAGAGUCAUUUAUGUGUAGGAAAGGUAUUAGCACCCUACAACAUUCAUUUAGAAAAACGGUGGCCAAAUUUAAAAUCUUGAAUUGAAAAUAUUUUUUAAUUUAUUUUAAACUAAUUAGUCUUAUUUUAAUUUAUUUUAAAACAUUAUAAUGUCUUAUUUUACACCUCAUUACUCUAAUAUUUGAAGCAAUGAUCUCAUAAAAUAAGUGGAAUAAUAUUUCAUUAAUUAGACUAUAUAUUGAGAAAAGUUUAUCACCUUAAGAAAAUGAGAAAUUAUUACAAUUUCUCAAAAUCUAUCAUAGGCUAGUCUUCGAUAAAGAUUUUUUUUUAUGAAAACAUUGAUUAAUUUUUUUUUUUUUUUUGGAUCAUAUCUUGGACUUCCAAAUAUGUGAUUCCUCACCUCAAUAAUUUCAGAAAAUCGAACUCCCAAAUUUUCUAGAUUCCGUCAUAGGAUUUUGUUUAAGGAAAACGGUACAAGUUUUUUAGAAAGGACUGAUUUAGGAAACCUUAUGAAAUCAUAGAUUAAUUUUGAAGGUUUUGAAAAACAUAAAACAUUUAUAACAUUAUAGACAUAUUUGCUAAAUGAUUAAAAAAAAGUCUUUAUUUUAAAACAUAAAGAAUUUUAAAUUAGAAGGAUUUUAAAACAUUAAACAAUUUUAAUACAAAUAGUUAUAUUCAAGUGCAUAUAACAAUAAUUAUGAUAUAGUAAUGUGAAUAGUAAAAGAAAGGAAACGUAAUAACAAUAGAUAAAAUAAGGAAAGAAAAAAAAAAAGAAUGAAUAAAGAAAGAAAUAAAAUAAGAAGAAGAAAAACAACAAGUAAAAAGAAAAAGAACCGUAAUAGUAAUAAACUUUAAUAUAAUAAUAAUAAUAAAUGAUAAUGACAAUAAUAAUAAUAAUGGUGAUAAUGAUAAUGAUAAAAUUUUCUCUAUCUUUAUUCAUUCUCUCUAUAUUUUCGAGAAAAAAAAAAAAUAAAGGUCAAGAGUUGGGAUUAAAAAAAGUAAUGAAAUACAGAUAAAUAAAAAAACGAACAUUUUUCUUAUGUCGUUUUCUUACUCCCUAUUUUUUUAGAGAAAAGAAAAAAACUACAUAAAUUUUUUUAAUGAUGAUAAAAGAAAAAAAUUAGUAAAAAAAUGCUAAAAUUUUUCUAUAUUUUCUUUUCUUUCUCUUUUAAAAAGAGAAGAAGAGAAAAAUAAGGAUUCGAAUCCCAAAGAAAUUACUUGUUAUAUGAGGUACGAAUCAUUGGGAUUAAAACCCUACCAAAUGCAACCUCUAACUAAAUUUAUUAAAACCCUAAAAUGAUUUAAGUAUCUCAAAAGUGAUAUUAGAAGAUUUUAUUUAAAACAAAUUCAUUUAUUUUUUCCUAAAACGGUACUAAUAAGAUAAAUGUGAUAUUAAAAUAUUUUAUUUAAAAUAAAUUGAUUUAUUUUUAUCCUAAAAUAAUAAAAAUGAGAUAUUAUAAGAUACUAUGUUAUUACUAAUUUUUUACUUUUUUUUUUUAUAAAAAAAAAGUUUAGCCAUUAUUAUUAAUAUUAUUUUUUAUGAAAAAAUAUGGAUAGAAUAAAAAUAGAUGAGUACAACUUUAAGGGAGGAUAUUAAGAGAUAUUUGAAGGUCCAUAAUCUUCUCCUAUUAUUUUGUCAUUUAUUGUAAAUUGAUUCUAUUUUAAUUUCUUACCAUAUUCAUUCCAUUCUAAUUUGUAUAAAGGUUGAUUCUUAUGAAAUAAGAAAAGCAAGCGAUACAUAAUUAUUUCAAACCUUUUUACUGUUUGCGAACAUCCCCCACCCGAUUUAUUCUCUUGUCGAAAGCCCCUCUUCCUUUUGAAUUUCUUCUUCGGAGAGCACCCCCACAAGAUUUCUUCUUUUCGAACGUCGGUUUCACCCUAAACUCGUUCACUUCAACGAACGGGUCACCCACAUUCUGCCACCCCAAGCUCCAUCAGGUGCUCUCACUUGUUACCACUUAAUAUUUACUUACUGUUUUCUUUGGAUUACUAGAGACGACGUUGAAAUUUUGAUAAGCGUUCUGUUUUACCAAUUGUGAGAAAUCUAAGGAUCUUUAUUCUUUUCUACUGAUUGACCACAUUUUGAUGGUGCAGUUUAUUGUGAGAAAUCUGCUAUUAUUAUUACUAUUACUAUUAGUUUGAAUCACAGGUUUGGCUAGGGAUUUUGUUACUACCUAAUUAUUUGAAUAUACACUUCAUGUACUAAUUAUUAUUAUUUGGGGUGGUGUUGUUUUUUUCUUUAUUAUUGUACAAUUAUUUUUAUGUAUUAGCAAUGGGAACUGUGUUUUAUUUUUUCUGUUCUCAACCAUAAAUAUUGUUGGGCUAAAAUAUAAAUUAGAAAAGAAAAAGAAAAAAAAUGUAAAGAAUUUUAUUUGGAGUGUGUAUUGGGCAAUCAACAUUGAGUGUGAUCUUGUAAAAGGUUUUCAUCCUCCUCAUGGUCGUCCCUAUGGCUGAUUUGGAACUUUAUUCUUAAAUAUUGUUGUGUUACAUUUAUGAUUAAAUUACUCAUUUACUCUAUAUGGUCUUCAUAAAUCUACAAUUUUAUAAGCAGAUUUUAAUAGUCUUUCUCCCUUUUUAAGAUGUUGGUGUUGGAAGUUAUGCAUGCUACCACACUCCACUUUUUAAAGUUAGUAUAUGAAGUGUAUAUUCUAUUGCUAAGUUUAUGUUUGGUUUUGAGUUAGAAAGAUACACUUAGACAUGUUCUAAGUUGUUUUGAGUUAAAAUGAAACAUAGACACUUUUUUGGUGUUUUUUAGGUCGGUUUGACAUUGAAUUAUCCUUUAUCCACUUAAGCUAAUAUGCUUUGGUAAUUGCUAUAGGGUUGACUUUUUGUCCAUUAUCUUUGAAGAUGAAUAGGGGUUGGAUUAAACUAAAAAAAAUAGAUUUUCAGGUGAAUGUAUUGAUGGAGUUGCUCAAUUUAUGGAAGUGGCUAAGUAUCAUGUAAAUGAUAUGGAGGAAAACUAGGUGUUCAUGUAAGUAUUGUCAAAAUUCAAUGACACAAACAUUGGACAGAGUAGAGCGUCAUUUAUUUACAUAUGAAAUAUCCUCUUUAUAUAACAAAUGGGUUUAUCAUGGAGAAGCAACGAACUUAGCUCGAUUUAAAUAGGGUGCUACUUCAUCAAAAGAUGAUAGAUUUAGUAGAGAGUCUAAUGUUGGUGAUGAGGACACUCAAAUUUUAGAUCUUUUAACUAAUUUGCAAGGAUCAAUGAUCGCAAGGGAAUAAAAUUUUGAUGAUGAAGAUGGUUUUGAUGAAUAAUUUUAAGAAGAUGUCAAUGAAAUAGGUACUACUAGCAUUUCUUAGGAGUUAAUGAAUGAAACAUGUAACCUGUUGAGAUCAGUGUUAGGAUUAUAACCUUACAUAAUACAUUGACUCUAAUUUCCAAACCGAUAAGGAUUCUAGGAAAUCCACGUCAAGAUUAAUGUUCACCCUAAACGAGAGUGUUGUGGUAUGGCGUAGUAUCAAGCAAGGAUGCAUUGCAUAUUCUACUAUGGAGGUUGAGCUCGUCGUUGCUUAUGAAGCAGCAAAAGAAGCAUUUUAGCUCAGAAAAUUCCAACAUGAUUUGGAAGUUAUUCUAAACAUAAACAUGUACAUCACUUUAUAUUAUGAUAACAGUGGGGCAUAUUGCUGAUCCAUUUAUGAAAACUCUCACGGCUAAAGUGUUUGAUUGUCAUCUAGAAAGUCUAGGUCUGCGAGAUAUGUACAUUAGGUAAUCUAGGGCAAGUGGAAGAUGUGCAAUGGGGUAUGAGAAUGCCCUAUUUUAUUGUAUUUGUAUAUAUACGUUUUAUGUAAUAUACUUGUACAUUUUAUCAUUUCCAAUGUUUGAGAAUUACUUUAUUACGUACAUCCCAUAGAGACUAGAGUUUUGGUCCCAGUGGAAGUUUGUCGGGAAUUAUGUCCUAAAACUCGUACAUUGUAAAUAUAAUCCAUUGACUGUUAUUAAUAAAAUGUUGUUGUUAUAAUAAAUGUUAUUGAUUAUAUUAUUAGCUUUGUCUUAAUAACAUAAAUCCAAUAAACUAACAUCUUAAGUUGUUUGAUGGGUCUUGAACAAUAUGUAAAGACAUACAAGAAUUAAUGUUUGAGAUCAACUUAAAGGGUCUAUAGUAGAGGGAUAAGGUUGGAUACCUUAUCUUAGUAACACUAUGGAUGCGACUCACUUUGUAUUUGAUACAAACACAAUGAUUCAAUGAGUUCGUGUAGGUGACAUAUGAAUGUAUCUUAUGCAAUGUGUUUGCAUAAGAUCAGACCACGAAAUAGUAACCACUAGAUGUAACUUCGUUAACUAGUUAGAUUUUUAUUUCAUUAGGAUGACUUAGGUAACUUAGUCUUAAUUCUGAGUUUAUUAUGAAAUUUUGUUUGUGAGGGAUUGUCCCUUGAUUUGUACGAGUGAGAGUGGAUAAAUUGUCGACUCAAUAUGCUUAUCAUUUUGAAAACAAGAUCGAUCAUUUUGAAAACAAGAUCGAGUGGAGAGCUGAGAAUAUAAUUACAAAUGAUGAAAUUCACUCAUUUCCUACUUUAGGAUAAGUAGAUAAGUGUUCUCUUAAAUCGUGUCUUCGAGACUUGAACCAAGGGUCAUACCUUCUCAAUGGCACGAGAGGGGUUUUUGUUUAUUGGUUGGACCAUAACAGGUUGUUCAUUGGAGGAGCAUUGAUAUUUAAAGACUAGAUAUAACUCAUGGGUAAAACGGUAAUUUGAUCCAACUGAUGUUACGAACACUUGUGAAAGACUAGUCUAUAUCCAUGGACACAUAAAUAUAUCUACAGUGAGAAGAGUUCAGUGGUGAGUCUUUAGUGGAGUGUACACACAAUUAACGAAUAUUGAUUAAUGUGGUUAAUGAGUUUAGUCAAUUAAUCUCAUAUCGUUGUACCUUUUGAUAUGCAUGUUCAGUAGGUCCAUUUCCUAGUCCGUAAAGAUUAAUGAGAUUUAUUUAUAUUGGUUAUAAUUUGAAAUGUUCAAAUUUAUUUUGGCAACUAGUAUAAUGUAUGGUGAUACAGUUUAUAUAUUUUAAUCACUUUAUUAUAAAAAUUUAUUUUUGGAUAUGAUUCAAAAUUAAUUUAUGAGAGAUAAAAUAUUUGAAUCAAUUCAAAUAUUAAUUUAAUGUGAAUUGAAUUCAUAUUAAAAUUAUUAGUUAGGAGAGAACUAUAUAUUUAAUUUAAGUUGAAUAUAAGAUAUUUAAUUUAACUAUUAAUUAAUUGAAGAACAAUUAAUUAAUAGUUUAAUUUUAUUUUAUUUAAUUAAAUUUGAUUUGAAACUACAAGAUAUUGGAAAGAUAUUUAUUAAAUAUAAUUUAAAUAAAAUAUUAAUUAAAUUGAUAAUUAAUUAUUGAUUAAUUAAUUAAUUAAUUAGUAGAUUUAAAUUUUCUAUUAAUUUAAAUUUUUUUCAAAUUAAUUGAAUCUAAUGGUUGUCUCCUUCUCUCUUAUGGAAAGGAAGAUAUAGAAGAAAAACAGUUUUUCUUAAUUAAAAAGAAAAAGUCAAUAUUUUUGCUCUCUGCAAACAAAGUUUCUCUCUACAACCUUUCUCAUCCCAAUUCCAAUUGAUUCUCACAAACCAAUCUCAUCCU
rnacentral:lncRNA from 1 species